GGGAGAUGGGGAGUAGACUCCAGAGGACCAUGUCUUGGUAGUUUAGUGAGAGCAGCAGCAGAAGUACAGUAGUGACAACCUGGGUCCAGACACGGUCUGUCUUUCUGGCACUUUGAAGAUUUCUUCCUCUAGAUUCCCCCACAGCAGAGUCAGUCACCCAUAAACCUGACGCCUCAUCGUAACUGUAGAAUCCCAAUAAGUAUGUCCUGUUACCAAACUCGAUCAUUCAAGUAUAUCCAGCAGAUUGACGUAGUACCAGUUUGUCUGUGUACCUUCCACCACCCAGACAACAUUCCUGCCAUUUGAGAGCAGCAGAGGAAACUAAAGUUCUAACCAAUAUUGCCACUCCUUUUGGAAGGGAGUACCACCUUGUCCUGUCAGAGGACAGACAUGAGGAAACAUGGGGUGGGCCCUCUCGACGCUAUCUCCCUGUUUGUUUUAAAUUACAUAGCACACUGUAGACUGCAUAGCGGUCAAACUCUAGUUCCCCAGGGGCAGUGUGGAACUCUAGCCAACUAUACGUUUCUUAGAUUCCUUUACUGAACUGUAAACUAUAACUUUCAGAUUAGCUUAAAAAAUAUGUGUUAUUAGUUGUCCAGAAAUCAAACUUUAUGCUAUGGUAAAUUAUGAGAUUGACUGCAGCUUUGUAGUAAAUGGGCUGUCGAAGUUCUGCAUUGAAUGCAUGUCUUGUCAUUCCUGUGUUUAACAUCUUGUUGCAAAUUCCGGAAACUAUAGUGGCAAAUUUGACAAAAUGCAUACCAAAUUUAGAGAUUAUUAUUUAUGUAGUUUAUCACACAUAUUCCCACUUCAGUGAUCAUUUACAUUAAAUACCUAUAUUUUGCUUUAGUACCAGCAACAAAAUCCCAAUACAUUACAUGCAAGAAUUCGAUUUAUGUUUAUCAUUGCAUAGUGUGCAGAACCAACAGUUAAUUAAUCUCAAUAGUAGCUGGCUGUUCAGAUGCCAAUAUUCGUACUUUCUAUAAAUGUAUCUAGCUAACUAUAUAGGUUGAAUUUAUGUUUAUUUAUUGUAAUGACUAUGAAUAUUUACUUAGUAAACGUACGAUUAAUGAACAGUGGAGCAAUUGGAAUCAAUUUUAAACAGGGUAUGUCAAGCCAGCUGUCUGGAGUCCUCAUUUUCAAAACAAAUAAAAUCAUGGCGGCCCGCUUAAAAUCGAGUUUUCUACAGUUGAUUCGGUUACGAAAUACAGCACAUUUUAGGUUUGAGUUUAAACAUUUUCUAUGAAAUUAAGAGUUCUACUUGGGUAUACCAACUUAAUGAAAGUCUUGCUGUGAUUUCAGUUCAGUAGCUAAACCCUAACUGCCACAUCGUCUAUGUCAAACCAGGUCCUAGCCUAAUCCCAUCCUCAUGUUGCGCAGCUGAAAUUUCCCUAAAUGUAUUAAUGAUAAAGUUCAGCCAACAACCACGAUGGGCCAAGAAGUAUAACAAGAACUCUGUUUGCCUGGGUCUUCUUCGGUUAUGUAGCUAACGUUAAACCCGUCAUCAGCAACUUGAUUGAGUGACGUAGCUAACGACGUUUAGCUAGGUAACUAAAAAUCAUUCCGUUUUGUUCUGCAGUCUGGUCAUUGAGGCAUUCCCUAGCUUAGUCAGUGUCACUGCACAACCAUAGGUAGCUAACGUUAGCUGCUUUGUUGUUUCUUUGCUUUUUGACAGUCUCAAGUUAAUGUUUCAAGACCAUCGGACAUUCAUCCAACAGAUUGGGUUUGUAAGGAUAAACUCACUCUGUUGAAUGAAUGUCCGACCAUCUAAAUACAUGACCUGACAUAACUGUCUGUUAAAGGCUUACAAUUAAAACGAGAAACCAGUUCCACACACAAUACACAUUGGCCAGAACUUCCGAAAACGUCUGCCUCUGACAGUACCCACACAGUUCGCAGAAACCUGUUUGAAAUGGAAGGAGUGAAAAGUGUGUUCUAUGGCCCUGACUUCAUCACAGUGACCAAGACCCACAGUGAUGGAGGAUGGCGGUGAUAUAAUCUUUAAGGGCUUUGAGAAUGGCACGGUAAAGCUGAAGCCGGUUGGCUCGUGCACCGACUGCCCCAGCUCCACUGUCACCCUGAAGAAUGGCAUCCAGAACAUGCUGCAAUUCUAUAUCCCGGAGGUGGAUCCCGGAGGUGGAUGACGUGGAACAGGUGGAAGAUGAAAUGGAUCAUGUCAACGCAAACGUUUUCACCGAGUUGGAACGCAAGUUUGGAGACAUAAAACUGUCGGCCCCCAUGCCUAUAGAUAAACAGCCUGUUGUAUCGAUGUCAUGCAAACCAGGUAGACAAGGCUUACCAUAG